GGAGGGUAUGCCGGCAGUCCGGCGGGCGGUUUCGAAAGCCGCUAUACGGUAUCCAUUCCGGGGGAGCGUCACCUCUACCCUCCGC
rnacentral:tRNA from 1 species